GACCUGGCCGCCUGCCAGGGGCGGGACAGAGGUGGGCAGGAAGAGCAGAUAGGAGUCACCUAUACGAAAGGCGCCUGGUAGGUCCCUGGACCACCGCCCUAUCCCGUGGGGGUUCUGCUCUUCCCCGCGCAGCGCGUGCCACCACCUCUGGUUAACAGCCUCCAGCAGCGGCUACUCGCAGGACCUGGGCUGGAUAACUAGGGCUUCGCCGCCCCUCUGACUUGGCGUUGGAAGCGAAGGGAACCCUGCAUCAACUCUGGAGAGCCCUGGUUUGCAGGAUCGCCCUUAGACAAGGCAGAUGCCUCAAGGAAAGUCUCUUCCCUGCUCUGAAUAAUGUCCACACCCCAAAGAACUUCUCCCAAAUACGUGAGUGCUGGGACCACGAGGAUGCAGUCUUCUGGCAGUUAAGCUCCUACCCUGGUAAAGAACCUUGACUUCAUUCCUGAGAGAGCAAGUGGCAAAUAAGAUCGCCCCAGGCAUCAGUUCACUUUGACAGCCUGCUAAGGUAGUUAGGGCUGUUAAUCACCAACCCUCUCUGGCCUGCUGAAGUCCAGUGGGCUGGACAAACUGGGAUACCCGGUGGGAGAGGGAUGCAGGGAUGAGGUCCAAGGGGCCAAAUCCCUUGAAAAGCCUCAAGGAACAUUUUGGGGUAUGCAUUUUUCCCUUCAAAAGGCAAAGAUAACAAUCAAAAUGUUCUUUGAUUUUGUUAAUAAUCUAAAUGGGUCUGUGGAUUAUAUCAAAGGAGAAUUAUAAAGGAGACCAAAAGAGAUCAUCUAG
rnacentral:lncRNA from 1 species